rnacentral:rRNA from 1 species
GGGCUUGACAUCCCACGAACCUGCCCGAAAGGGUCGGGUGCCCGCAAGGGAGCGUGGAGACAGGUGGUGCAUGGCUGUCGUCAGCUCGUGUCGUGAGAUGUUGGGUUAAGUCCCGCAACGAGCGCAACCCUCACCCCUUGUUGCCACCGGGUCAUGCCGAGCACUCUAGGGGAACUGCCAGCGUCAAGCUGGAGGAAGGCGGGGAUGACGUCAAGUCAUCAUGCCCCUUACACCCUGGACAACACACGUGCUACAAUGGUUGGUACAAAGGGACGCAAGACCGCGAGGUGGAGCUAAUCCCAAAAAACCAGUCUAAGUUCAGAUUGCAGUCUGCAACUCGACUGCAUGAAGGAGGAAUCGCUAGUAAUCGCGCAUCAGCACGGCGCGGUGAAUACGUUCCCGGGCCUUGUACACACCGCCCGUCACACCACGAAAGCCGGCUGUACUCGAAGUCGCUGAGA